GCUUACGCCAUACACUGAAGGCGCCCGAUCUCGUCUGAUCUCGGAAGCUAAGCAGGGUAGGCCGGGUUAGUACUUGGAUGGGAGACGCCUGGGAAUACCAGGUGCUGUAAGCU
rnacentral:rRNA from 1 species